GGAAGCUUACAUGCUAUGGUCACUCAAAAAAUGGUCCUUGUGACAUUGUUGGUGAUAUCAGUUAUGAAGAAUUGCGGGCUGCUGCAUAUGACGAUGCUAAGCAUGGAUUGAGCUUGCAAUCAAUUGUUGAGAGAGAGAGAAAUUUGCUUAAUUCCAAGUUGACCGAGUUUGAGAACCUGCUUCGUAAUCCUUAUGUAGCACCUCAAAAUUCUGCUCUUAGCCAG
rnacentral:misc_RNA from 1 species